rnacentral:lncRNA from 1 species
GUACACUAUACACGUAGCCUAAAUUUGCUGGGUAAGCGCUAUGACAUGCAGAGCCUUUUCAUUGUAUCAUCUGCCUUACUCUACUCAUCGUCUAUUUCCCUGUAUACCUCUUUAUUUUUCCCUUUACUUCUCGAUUUCUCUAUGUGAAUUCUCCUGUCGGCAUAUGCAGAUAGUUUAUCCAUCUUUGUUCUAUUUGAAUUUGCUGCGAGCUCUUUUAAUUUAGUUUGUUGUUUGUGCAAUUUUCUUUGUUUAUUAUACUUGUUCUACUACUUGUCUAAAUUUUGGUUGGUAAACGUUCGUUUUCUGCUGUUUUGCAUAAUUGUUACUAGAAUUUUUACAUACAUAUCAGUAAAUAUUCAUGAUUUGCACAUUUUCUAUGUUUUUUUUAUGAAAGUUGUUCGUUUUCUGCUUUUUGCAUAAUUCUUGCUGGAAUUUUUACAUAAAUGCCAAUAAUUGUUACUAAUUUGCACAUUUACUUUGUUUUUUUAUGAAAUUUAACUUUUGCUACCAACUACUCAGUUCAGGAUUAAACGGUCCUAUUAAAAUUUUAUGGUAUCAAUAUUCGUUCGAAGAUUGGGUCUCUUAAUUUACGUUAUUUUUUUCCUGCAGAUUAACCUAUCUAAAGAUGCAAUUCUGAAAUAGGAGACAAACACGGAGACAGAGAGGACGGGUUGAUCGGUGGUUACCGCUAAUAUACAUCUGGUAUGAUUGCUUUACCAGCUUGAGUUUCAAUCUCUUUGUUUUUUUUUUUUUUCAUAGUGUGAUUAUGAACAAUAAUAAUAAUAAUCAUUGAAGCGGCCUAUGCACCCAAGAAGAUGAUAUGCCUGACUCAUCUUUUUUAAAGUGAAGUCCACAAUUUCAUUUCAGAUUCCCCGUUAGGAAACUUGUGCGUUCUGACACUUAAGAUUGUAAUUAGCUGCUCUGAAUACUUCAUUACCUGGAAAAAUUUAUUAUAAGUCAUUUUUUGUUUCACUUGUGCAGAUACGUUACUCUAGAUUACUGUAGAUAGGUUUCUUCUUCAUAUUCCAUGGAUUUUUGUUUUUCAUUGUGGAGAUACUUCAUUUUUAGACAAUUCUAUUUAUUAAUCGAGAGAAUAGAGAUUUCCUUAGAUUUUCUAACAGUAGAGUUUAACAUUGCUUUAAAUGCAGGAGAUAAUUUUAAGAGUUUCAAGUAGUUCAAAGAUACCGCAAAUUUUUACAAAUUGGCGGCAAUUAAGGCUUGAUAAUUUGACAUUUGAAAAAGCCAUAUCAGUUGCUCCGUCUUCCUUUGCUAUUCAGGUUUACAAGUUCCAUACUUUGUUGUAGGAGAAAGUACCAUUUAAAAACUUCUGCUUGCUCUGAAAAUAGUUGUGAUAUCAUCAUAAUGGGAAAUUAAAAUGCAAGCACCUUUUUACAAGUAGCAAGUGAGUUAGGCAUAGCUUGUUUGAGAUAAAUACUCUAGUUAAAUCUCAAAGCUCUUUAUAUUGGGAAUCAGUUUCUCAUUUCAAUCUGGGUCGAGUUACUUUGAAUAUAGUUGAGAUAUAAAGGUAGUUGACCAAAUAAGUGAAGUGAUAAGAAUUAGCGACUUUGAGAAAUUAUUUUAACUUCCCUCAUGGAAUUGAUCCUUUGAAAAACCUACAGUUUGAUCCGCUUCAAGGAAAUUAGUAGUUCCUUCUGUGAUUUAUUUCUACAAUGUCUUAAUUUUAUUGGUUGAUUCUAAUCUUCUAAAAAACAUAUUUGAGCCUACAACUUGGGUAAUCAUGAGCUAUUAUUGAAGUAUUGUCUACUAGCUCUGGCACUUGGAUUAUGUCAGCAAGCAAGUUGUAAUGCUUAGGAUUAUCAUGCUAAGAAAUUGCUUAUACUUUUCAGUUCUGCUGCACCAAGUAAGAGAUAAGCCUCAAAAUUUAUAGACAUUAUUAGCAGAGAAAAAAAAUACUUGGACUUCCAUUAGGAUGAGAACAUCUUUAUGUGGAAACAAACAUCUGUAAUAGAAAGAUAGAAUGUUGCAAAUAUCUGUGUGCUUAUCAUCUUCUUAUGUAACAUUCUUCAAUGUGGGAUACAUGUUUCUGCAACAGAUGGCCUCUUUUCCAAUAUUCAAUCAUCAAAAAAGGUGUACAAAUGAUAAACUAAAUAAUAACACUGAUUUUGAUUUUUUACAAUGUCAAGAAGGGAAAUGUAGGAUUGACCACUAGAACUGUGAUGAAAUUCCUAGAAUUUCUCUAAGAUUAGAAGACGGCUAUACAUUUAGUUUUUUGGUCAUUUGAACUGAAAAUUCCAGCACUACCUUAUUGCCAUUUCAAAAAAUAAGGAACUCAAUUAAAUUAGGAAUGACCAAGAGUACCUUGCAACAUAACAAGGUAGGUGAAAGACUUUAUAUAUAUAAUAUGCCUCUUCCUUCACUAUUGCUUAUAUUAUGUAAUCAUUGGCUUUGCUUUCAGGUAGUAUGGCCGAUUGACGACAUCUUUGAUAUGCUUCACUUGGCUAGACUAUCAACUUUGGUGUCAUUCUUUUGCAUAGCCUCUCAAAAAUCCGUAAGUUAUUAAUCUUAAUUAAAGAAUUAUAAGUGUCAGGACUUAAAGUACUUAAUUAAAAAAACUUGCGCUGAUUGACUAAUACAUGGCAUAAAUCUGCUUUAGUCUGAGGAUGUAACAAUGUUUUUCCAAUCUAUAUCUAUCUAAAAUAUUCAUUAGCCCUUAUUCUCUGUCUCGAACAUAUCCACUUGUACAUACAAAUCUGGUAUUCCUGUAAGUAUUUGUCUAGCUUUGAUCUGCUAAACCCGAGGAUGAUCAUAAUGAAAUAUAUUUAGAGUUAUGAAUGAUCAACAAAAAUCCGUGAAUGGUUAAAAGAGGAAGCUUUGGAUUUGAGCUUUUAGUUUUUCUUAAUGGUUGUAAAGCUGAUAACUGAAUAUGGAACUUCGAGACUUGGUUUUUGUUGGAUUCAAGAUUUAUAUCCUUACUCCCUUACUUGGAUUAGUGAAAAUAAUAAAAUAAUUUCAAAUAUUCUCAAACAUUUAUUCUAACUGAAUAUGCUGUUUUUUCUUCUGUUGGGCGCAAUUGCACAUGUAUUUUUCAAGAAGUACGAGUAAUGAACGUUAUGACAUUUUAUAAGAGAAAGAUUAAGAAGCAAAUAACUUUUGCUGGCCAAAAUACAUUCACUUUAUGUCACGACCCCAAUUUUCCUCCGUAUGAUAUUGUGACGACACCUAGUCUCCAAGACUAGGUAAGCCUAUCAAAUAUGCGGAAUAACUGAAAUAUUAAGCUAAAACUCAAAACGUCAAUAAUUGUAAUAAAUAAAAACUGCAACUCAAGUAUAAACAACUCCCAAAACCCGGUAGAUAUAAGUCACAAUCUCUAAAGAGAAAUACUAGAUAUCCCUAUACAUCAUAGUCUAAUGAGAAUAAGGAAACAUCAUAAUAGAGAUAAAGGGGGACUCCGAAAUCUGCUGACACUGGCAGAUAUACCUUGAAGUCUCCACGUACGGGGUAGCUCACUGGUACCUAAUCUGGUAGGCAGUACCUGGAUCUGCACAAAAAAGAUGUGCAGAAGCUUAGUAUGAGUACACCACAACAGUACUCGGUAAGUGUCAAGCCUAACAUCGGUAGAGUAGUGACGAGGUCAGGUCAGGGCCCUACUGGAAUAAUAAGAAACAAGGCGGAAGAUAUAAUUAUAUAAUGAAAUGACAAAGAAGUGUAACAAUAGAAAUUCACAGAAGGUAACAACACGGAAUCAAAGAAGACAAUUACAACACGUAAGGAUGUAAGAAUCUUACAAGUUAAGGAACGACAACAACAACAAUACAUCAAAUAGAGAAAAACAACAAGGGCACUCCCGAUGUACCGCCUCGUAGUCCCAAAAAUAAAUAUCUCACAAUGGUACGGCAAAAAUCUCGUGCAAACAAUAACAACCCGCACGGCGGAAACCUCGUGCUACAAUAACAACCCGCACGGCAGAAACCUCGUGCCACAAUAACAAUCCCCACGGCAGAAACCUCGUACCACAAUAACAAUCCACACGGCAAAAAUCUCGUGCCACAAUAACAAUCCGCACGGCAUAAAACCUCGUGCCAUAAUAACAAUCCGCACGGCAGAAACCUCGUGCCAUGACCAUACAAUCAUCUCGACAAUAAUCACGAAAACCAACACGUAACAAAUGAAAUAAUGAUAUUACAAGUAAAGAAUCCUAUAAUUAAAGAAUGAAUACAGAAUCAAGGAAGCAGGUAAUUCAACUGAGCAUAUUGUACAAAUUGCAAAUAAGAGAUAAGACACGCAGACAUGUGAAAUUAGGCUAAACAUGAUGGCUACACAUGCUAGAGUAACUCAAUUAAGAAAAUAAAAAAAAACUACUUAGCAAAAAUCGGUUUUUUUUUUAAAUAUUUAGCCCGAGUACGCACUCGUCACCUCGCGUACACGGCCUUCACGUAUCGCAAUUUACCAUAACAGUGCCAAAUUCUAAGGAGAAUUUUUUCCACACAAGGUUAGACAAGUCACUUACCCCAAAUCUCGCUCAAUCAAUCAAUAAGAAAGUCGUUCCCUCGAUUUUCCAACUCCGAUCGGCUCGAAUCUAGCCAAAAUAAUUUCAUACUNNNNNNNNNNNNNNNNNNNNNNNNNUAUAGAAAAUUAAUUUAAAUAAUGAAAUUACGACUUUAGCAAAUAAUUAAAAAAUCGCUCCAAAAAGUUGACCCGGGCCCACGUCUCGAAACCCGACCAAAAUUACAAAAAACGAACACUCAUUCGAUAUCGAGUCCAUACAAGAAUUAUUCAAAUCCGACCUCAUUUCGCCUUUCAAAACCAAAAAACUUAGUCUAAGAAGUUCUACCACUUUUCUCCAAUUCUUCCAACUCCAAUCCUUAAUUACAUGAUAAAAACAAUGAUAGAUUGGUGUAAUUUAACCAAAAUCGAGUUAAGAAUUCUUACCCCAAUAAUUCCUCUGAAAAUUCCUCGAAAUUUCGUCUCCCACCGAGCUCCCCAAAUCCCAAAAUGAAAUAUGAAUCAAAACUCUCAAAAAUUCCCCUUUUUUGCUAGUUAAACCGCACCUGCGACCUUGCUGCCGCAUCUGCGGUUCCGCACUUGGGAAAAAGCAUGGCAGGUGCGGACCUCACUUAAGUCCAAAGAAUCUGCUUCUGCGGAAAGUGGCUCGCAUCUGCGCAUACGCACCAGCGGCCCAAGCGACGCACCUGCAAAACACAGUCGCACCUGCGCUCCUCUCUAUUGCAGAAGCGAAGCCGCUUCCGCGGAACGUUUUCCGCUCCUGCGCCCCCAACUGGGCAUGCCCAGUUCCGAGCUUCGCUUGUGCGGAACAUUUUUUGCUCUUGCUCCCCCAGCUGGGCAUGCCCAGUUCCGCAUCUGCGACCAAGUUCUCCCAUUUGCGAGCCCGCACCUGCGGCCAUUCUCUCCGCAUGUGCGAAAACACCAGAAGCUGGGCACUUUCAGCAAUCCAACAAGUUCAUAAAUGAUCCGAUUCCCAUCCAAUUCACACUCGGAUCCCUCGGGUCUCCGUCCGAAUAUACCAACUAGCUCCAAAACACAUAGCGGACCUAAUCAAGGCUAAAAAUCACAUCAAACAACUCUAAAAACAUGAAUUGUGCAUCGAUUCAAGCCUAAAGAACUUUAGAACUUCUAACUUCUACAUCCGAUGCUGAAACCUAUUAAAUCAAAUCCGAUUGACCUCAAAUUUUGCACACAAGUCAUAAUUGACAUUACAGACCUACUCCCAUUUUCGGAAUCGAAAUUCGUCUCCGAUAUCAAAAGUCCACUCCCGAUCAAACUUUUCAAAAAUUAUCCGACUUUUCAACUUUUGUCAAUUAACGCCGAAAUGAUUUACGGACCUCCAAAUCAACAUCCAGACACGCUCCUAAGACCAAAAUUACCAUACUGAGCUAUUGAAACCGUCAAAACUCCAUUCCUGAGUCGUCUUUACACAAUUCGAUCUACGGUCAACUCCUACGGCUUAAACUUCCAUUUUUAGGGACUAUAUGUCCCAUUUCACUCCGAAAUCAAAAAUCAAACCUCCCGGCAAGUCACAUAACCACAGUACAACACAAAGAAUGUAAUAAACAAGGGGUCGGGGCUAAUACACUCAAAACAACCGGCCGGAUCGUUACACUUUGAUAUACCUUUAGAUGCCUUUUGGAAAUAAACUUUUACGGUCUGAACAAGUUUGCCAAUAAAAUUGUGUCCCCAUAAAACUCAACAUAGUAACACUCCUAAUCCGGAAACCUGUUUAAAAGUUAAACUAUUAGCUACUAAAUUGUUUCAUAUAGAAAAGAAAAUAUAGUUCUUACAUAAAUUUUAUAUGAGAUAUAUAAAAGAUAUUUUGACUGCACUCCUAAAUUAAGGGGGUAUCAUUGUGAGAUAGCGUAUAAAGGAAAAGUGAUUACUCAAAUUUUGGAUGACAAGAGUAGAAGUUUUUGCCAAAAAUAUUACCUUUGCAGAAAAGGUUCAAAAUAUGGAAUCUUUUAGUGUAUAUUUAGGUGUCAAAUCUUUAGCUACUAGCUUAAUAUCAAAAACACUUACUGAAAGUAUUUGUGUGCCAUUCUUGUGUACUAUUUGACUUAUCAGAAAUAUGGAAAAAGGUGUUUAAAAGUAUUUGUGUUCCCUUUUCAUGUACUAUCUAACUUAUCAGAAAUAUGAAAAAGGGCGUGGAAUCAACUACUCAAUAUUAUAUUUCAAAAUUUUAAUUUGUCACAAACAAUUAGAUAUUUCAGUGUGCUUCUCUCCUAUCCCUAUCCUAUGUGAUUUCAACAAUUUGUUAGAAUUAUGCAUGCAACUUGAGUGUGUAUAAGGGAAAAAGAAGUUCACAUAAAUGAUUUUUUUGCCUUUUCUUCGGGUCUUGAGAGAAAAGGCUCUAGGAACUACUUAAGUAUGUGUAUGGGAAAAAGAAGUUCACAUAAAUAGCUAUAUGAGAUACUCCAACUUGAUGCUUUUCGCCUUUUUCUUUAUAGAAAUACAUUUUUCUUUCUAAGCCUGGAGAAAUUUUUAUUUUCCAUUCUCGGAUGUGUAUUUAUUGGUUGUAAUAUUGGAUAUUACCUUAGCCUUGGAUUGAAUGCAGUGAUUAUGUCUCAAUAUAGUUCCUCUGAGGAGUUGUUACUAUACAUGAUGAUUGAAUAUCAACUCUAAUUUCAAAGAUUUUCACAUCUGCUAUUGUGAGAAUAAUUUCUAGCAUUUCAUUCACCUCCAUUGCACUCAUUAAGUUAGCUUUUUGGAAUUGAUAAUUUUGUUCCUGGUUCUGAAUUUCUUGUUUUUACUCUUGCUGCCAUGUUCUGGUGGUUGGAUAAUGGAUAUCCAACAAGAAUACCGAUGAUGUUUGAGUUUUGACACGAUUCAAGAAACUUUUGGUUCUAAUGUAAUAACUCAUAAGCUUUUGAUUGAUGUUUACUUGUCUUUUGAAGGUACUAUAGAACUUCUUAUACGUUCUUCUGUUCACUGUGCUGUUGUUUCUGGUAUAACAAGAGCAACUGAUUUGGUUACUGUACCAGAUACUUAAAAGGGAAUAAGCGGUUAAAUGUGUUGUGAUUUUUAUGUGCGUGAAAAUACACACUUCAUGUAUUUUGUGGGUAUUGCAUUAAUAAUACCGGAUUGUAAUCGUUACUUGUGGUAGCAGUAGCAUUGUAGUGUAUGUUUUUGUCCUCUUUUGCAGAUAUUAGACUGUCGUGCUAUUUAUAUAAUGUAUCGAAAAGCUUACUGGUUAUGACAAUCCAAUUUAAUACUAUCUAUGUAUAUGGAGAAUUGUUCUAUUGGCACCAGAACACGUGGG